GACGAACGCUGGCGGCGUGCCUAACACAUGCAAGUCGAACGGAAGUAGAGACUUCGGUUUUUAAUUUAGUGGCGAACGGGCGAGUAACGCGUGAGGAACCUACCCUUCAGUGGGGGACAACAGUUGGACACGACUCCUAAUACCGCACGAUACCUUUUGGGGGCAUACCUGGUAAGUCAAAGCUUUAUGUGCUGAAAGAUGGCCUCGCGUCUGAUUAGGUAGUUGGUGGGGUAACGGCUCACCAAGUCCACGAUCAGUAGCCGGUGUGAGAGGAUGGACGGCCACAUUGGGACUGGGAUACGGCCCAGACUCCUACGGGAGGCGGCAGUGGGGAAUAUUGGGCAAUGGGGGAAACCCUGACCCAGCAACGCCGCGGGAAGGAAGAAGGCCUUCGGGUUGUAAACUUCUUUUAGCAGGGACGAAGGACGUGACGGUUCCUGCAGAAAAAGCAACGGCUAACUAUGUACCAGCCGCCGCGGUAACAC
rnacentral:rRNA from 1 species